GACGAACGCUGGCGGCGUGCUUAACACAUGCAAGUCGAACGGAAAGGCGCUGCUUUUGUGGGGUGCUCGUGUGGCGAGCGGGUGAGUAAAACGUGAGUAAACUGCCCUUGUCUUUGGGGUAAAUUCAGGAAACUGGGGCUCAUACACGGUAGAAGCUCCUGCUGCAUGGUGGGGGAUGGAAAGAUUCGGCGGUUGUGGAUGGACUAGCGGCUUAUGAGCUUGUUGGUGGGGUAGUGGCUUACCAAGGCUUUGACGGGUAGCCGGCCUGGGAGGUGGGCCAGCCACCAGGGUCCUGCGAGAGGGCCCAGUCUCCUACGGGAGGCAGCGGUGGGAAAUAUGGCACAACGAGCGGAAGUGUGAGGCAGCGACGCUGCGUGCGUGAUGCCCUCCUUCUGGUUGAAAACCGCUUUCGCCUUUGACGAAGCGUUAGUGACGGUACUUGGUAAAGAAGCACCGGCUAACUACGUG
rnacentral:rRNA from 1 species